rnacentral:lncRNA from 1 species
GAUAAACAUAAACCUUGAGGGGUGGACAGCACUGGCCUAGAUGUUUACCCCACUCUGCCAUUUGUCACCAGAAGUCCUUAAAUCUGACUGUGUCUGCUGGUUUGCCUCUGGGGGUUGCUGACUUCAAGCUGUGUGAAGUCAGUAGUUACUUGAACCAUGUGUGUUUAGGGAGGUGAGGAGUGGGGUGUGUUUGUUUCUAUCAGUCUGUCUUUGUACACUCUGGGACUCUGAACCCCACCCAGGAGUGGGCUGGCCUUACCUCUAAGGAAUGGGGAUGAGUCCUGGUUGAGACAGUUUAGGUGAAAGGAUUUAGAAGGUACCUACACCACAUGUUGGCGCUGAGUCCUCCAAGUUAUUAGUCAUUUUUUGGAGGCAGGCUUCCUGUGCGGAUUAAGAUUUUUAGGAGUUGUAGCAACCUCAAAUUAAAUUUGACACAAACUCUUACUUUCUCUUGGUUAGAGAUGUUUGUAAUCUGAGAUUACAUACCCUGAGAUGUUUGAUAUAAAGAACCCGUGUUUGUCAUUCUUUUUUUUUGCCAUUCUUUAUAUCAGUGGUUUGGCUUCACUGGGGGCAGUUCCUUUCAUUUUCUUUCCCCCUCAACCUAUUUUUAGCAUCUGAUCUCCCUGCUUCCUCCCUGGGCUUUCAGAAUCCCAUCCCUGGUAUUAAAUUAAUUGUCUCCCCCAACACACACAGGUCCCAUUCUCUCAUGGGCAUCAACUUAGAGCUCCUCUGAACUCAGCCUUGGUCAGUUGACAAGGCCAUGCAUUAAUUAUCUGUGGACUGUGU